AGCCCUGACCUCAGUUAAUGAACAAUCAAGAGACAAUGAUAUUGUUAUGAUUGGAGCUGUUUCUGCACCAUCCAGAGGCAUGUUGAGGGCGAGGCUCGAGGACUUUUUCUCCAAGGGUCACCAUAGUGCUUAAGGGGCGAGGACAAACCUUGCGACGCUGCGUCUGAUUAAAUUCCAUCAGUGUAUUGAGCUUGCAGACCUGGGUGCUCAGCCCAUGUGAGGAAGUGCAUACUGUGCGGAUUCUACUGGAGGCUAAAGCACGACGGUGCAUGUGACGAUGCUGAUGAUCGCGGAGCUUCUUGCAAGAAAUGGCGUUGCGUUCUCAGGCUGCUUGCAGAUGGUGACCGCGGAAACUUGCCACCUUCGGCAGCUUUCAAACUUGCCCAACUCGUGUUUUUUCGGGUCAUCGUCGUAGUUGGUCCUUCUCUUGUUGAUUUCUGUGACCACCUUGAUUCCGGCCUAAUUUGCGCUCAAUCAUCAGCAGCUGGAGGAUCAACUCGAUUAAUGCAAAACAGGCUGAUAUCAGGGUGGUCACAAAAUCAAUCCACGGUUACCCUUACAGAUUAUAGCCAAAGUGUGUUAUGAAGGUAGGAAGAGCACCACGAUUCGAAUCAACGAUAAAUGAAUGUUAUUGAUGUUGGAAUGUAGUUGGACUAGCCUAUCACACGUAGACUCUGCAGAUUUACAUGGUUGUUGACAAGGUUUCCAGGCCCUGCGAUCACGAUAACUCUGUUGCCCAUUUCUAUUCUGACUAGAUUGUCACCCUGUCCGAGAUUUUUCAGGAGCCUGUGUCAAGGUCGCAUCCGAUGUAGCCAGCAUGGAGUCCAGAAUCAAGUGUACCUGUGCUUUUAGAAAUCAUGUCUAAGCUGCAGAAUCACUGAAGGCUAGUUUACUCGGCAUCAGAAGUCUUCAGGGCUCAUCAAUUAGGAGAAUUAUAGACCUCUGUGGUUGGGUUUAUGUUUUCACCAUCAUGUCCAUACGUAUGAAUGAGAAGCUUGUGAUUGCACCACUCACUGCUUGCAUUA